rnacentral:lncRNA from 1 species
UUUAUCUAUUACUAUUAAUAUUUAUUUUAGGAUUCAAUUUAUUUUAUUAUAGGAUAUUCUCAAUCUGCAUUGAGAAUAUCGUAUUGGUGCAUUAGACAAAGCCUUUUAUGGUUGUUUCUCGCCAUACUGGCUAGGGACGAGCCAUUGGUUGAUACUAUCCAAUGGUUAUGUGUAUUUGGUGUCACGUGGUCGUGAGUCAGGUCCGUGCAGCGCUGAGUGUAGACAGUGACACAACACGUUAUAUACUUACGACUUGCAGUUGCCUUUUCCUUUUCCUGAGCUUUCGUUAUCUUCAGACUUCCUUUUGGCACUUACAGGAUGAAGCCCACGUACAUGUAAUAGUGUUAUCAUCCUAUACGGUUCAUCGCCCACAGCGAAGAACCACGCGUAUGGUGUGAUCGAGAGAAUAAACCCUCGAACCCU